rnacentral:rRNA from 1 species
UACGGAGGGUGCAAGCGUUAUCCGGAUUUACUGGGUUUAAAGGGUGCGUAGGCGGAUUGGUAAGUCAGCGGUGAAAUACUCUCGCUUAACGAGGGAACUGCCGUUGAUACUAUUAAUCUUGAAUAUGGUAGAGGCAGAUAGAAUGCGUCGUGUAGCGGUGAAAUGCUUAGAUAUGACACAGAAUACCAAUUGCGAAGGCAGUUCGCUAAGCCACUAUUGACGCUGAGGCACGAAAGCGUGGGGAUCAAACAGG